rnacentral:rRNA from 1 species
UACGAAGGGGGCUAGCGUUGCUCGGAAUGACUGGGCGUAAAGGGCGCGUAGGCGGAUGGCACAGUCAGAUGUGAAAUUCCCGGGCUUAACCUGGGGGCUGCAUUUGAUACGUGUUGUCUAGAGUGAGGAAGAGGGUCGUGGAAUUCCCAGUGUAGAGGUGAAAUUCGUAGAUAUUGGGAAGAACACCGGUGGCGAAGGCGGCGACCUGGUCCUUGACUGACGCUGAGGCGCGAAAGCGUGGGGAG